CAGCAGCCGCGGGAAUACAGAGGGUGCGAGCGUUAAUCGGAUUUACUGGGCGUAAAGCGUGCGUAGGCGGCUUCUUAAGUCGGAUGUGAAAUCCCUGAGCUUAACUUAGGAAUUGCAUUCGAUACUGGGAAGCUAGAGUAUGGGAGAGGAUGGUAGAAUUCUAGGUGUAGCGGUGAAAUGCGUAGAGAUCUGGAGGAAUACCGAUGGCGAAGGCAGCCAUCUGGCCUAAUACUGACGCUGAGGUACGAAAGCAUGGGGAGCAAACAGGAUUAGAUACCCCAGUAGUCCCUGUCUCUUAUAC
rnacentral:rRNA from 1 species